AAGCUUUUAAACUCCUGGAAGUUCUCCUCUGUGGGGCGAUAGUGGCCACUGUGAGGCCAAAUAGCCUGCCAACAAUAAAGUUCAGAGAAAGAGAAAGAGGAGCAGCAGCACCUUCCAAGCAGAGAAAGGGAAAGAAGACCAGCAACAUCCUCCAAGCAGCAGUACUCUACAAGCAGUAGCAGCACCACCACCACCUUCGAAGCAGAGAAAGAGAAAGAAGAGCAGCAGCGCCCUCCAAGCAAAGAAAGGGAAAGAAGACCAGCAACAUCCUCCAAGCAGCAGUACUCUACAAGCAGUAGCAGCACCACCACCACCUUCGAAGCAGAGAAAGAGAAAGAAGAGCAGCAGCGCCCUCCAAGCAAAGAAAGGAAAAGAAGCAGAGAAAGGGAAAGGAGCAAUUCCGUGCGUCCCUGCAAAGGUUGUGUUCAGCAGGAUAAUGGAAGCAGUUUGCAGGCCAGUAAUGUGUUAAAUUUCACACAAUCAUUUCCAUUGUUGAUGACCAGGAAGAGCAUAGGAUACGAGCACAGAUUGUGUGUAAACUCCAACAGAUUUGAUUACUGUAUAUGAAAGGAAAGGAUGAUGCAAUUUUUUUAUUA